UCGCCUCCUGCCCAUACCCAUUAUAGGAGGUCCCGCUCUGCCCUGUGACCAAAAGUUUAACGGCCGCGGUAUUUUAACCGUGCAAAGGUAGCGCAAUCAAAUUGUCUUUUAAAUGGAGACCUGUAUGAAUGGCAUAACGAGGGUUUAACUGUCUCUUUUUUCUGGUCAAUGAAACUGAUCUGCCCGUGCAGAAGCGGGCAUAACCACACAAGACGAGAAGACCCUAUGGAGCUUUAGACGCCCACCAACCAUGAAAAGCACUCCGACUUAACGGACCCCCAAACAACAUGGUUAUGGCACAAACGUCUUCGGUUGGGGCGACCACGGGGGAAAGCAAAGCCCCCGAGAGGAUUGGGGGAAACCCUAAAACCAAGAGCCACAGCUCUAAGUCACAAAAUAUUUGACCAAUAAUGAUCCGGCUUGCUGCCGAUCAACGGACCAAGUUACCCUAGGGAUAACAGCGCAAUCCCCUCCCAGAGUCCAUAUCGACGAGGGGGUUUACGACCUCGAUGUUGGAUCAGGACAUCCUAAUGGUGCAGCCGCUAUUAAGGGUUCGUUUGUUCAACGAUUAAAGUCCUACGUGAUCUGAGUC
rnacentral:rRNA from 1 species